UCCCUCACCCAACAUGCUCUUACUUUCAUCCUAUAAAGUCUGAGAUUUCUCACCUCAUCCUAAAAGAUAAAACGGAUCUACAAAAAGAAAAAAACAAGGCCAUAUUUCUCCUUUCAACACUUCAUAUCACCUCCCACGAAACCAACCUUCUUCAACACCAUUGAACAACAUAAACCGAAUGUAUAGCCACCAUUGAUUCUCAUCCAACAACAAUAUUCUUGUUCUCUCAUUUACACAACUAUGACUCUGACCGAUCCGCACAUCUCACGACACCGAGGCGCACAAACCUGCUCUGCAACUGUGAAAGCCCCACUACUACCAAGUCAUGAUCUCGAUCCGUCGUCGCCUUCGAAGCUACCGGACCUGAGUGUUCUACUAUUGGAGCAUUUGGUCAGCAUGAGUCUUUUAAACCCACAAUCAAAAGAUCAAAAAGUAUUUGGUCAGAGCUCGACUAAGGGUAUUUUAUUGAAGGAGUUUGGCGUUGGAAUCUUCCGGUUUGGUUCGGGGAGGGGUCGGCUGAAACCAUUGCGGCUGUUACGGCGGAUAUCUCUAGCAGGCAGCGCUUCUGUCCUGCUGCUGCUGCUACUGGCAGCGCCAGUUCUGUUCAGCCUGGGACUGGUUUUGAGUCCAGCACUGCCAUGCCUCCCGAGCAGCAUUUCGAGGCUUUUUUGCGGCCUUUGAUGGAAGCCCUUAAUCGUGUUCCGGUUAGGGAGAAUUGUGAGGAUACCUUCUCGUGGGCCAUGAAUUCUAAUGGAUGCUUCUCCGUUAAGUCUUGCUAUGAGUUUUUUAUGGCCUUUCUUUCAGGUACUUCUUUGGACGGCAUUAAGGUCACGGCUUUGAACUAUCUUUGGAAGUGCAAAGUUCCCUCGAAAAUACUAGUUUUUGGAUGGAGAUUUAUUCACAAUCGUUUGGCCACAAGGGAUCAACUGGUGAUAAGGGGAAUUUUAGCGGAAGGACCUAGAGCCUCUACUGUUGGAGGAGGAGCAUUCGGUCAGCAUGGCCCUUUCAUGUCCACCAUGAGGGGUUUGAUAAAAAAUAGUACAGCAGAAAUAAAGUGGCAAACAUGCUUUAUCUUGAUUCUCCUGCUGGGGUGAGUUUUUCUUACUCCACCAACAGUUAUGACUAUUUGCUUGUUCCUGAUGAAAUGAGAGGAAGGGAUCACCUUGUUUUCCUUCAGCAUUGGUUCAACAAAUUCCCAGAUUUCAAGACCAAUGAAUUCUUCAUGGCAGGAGAGGGCUAUGCAAGUCACUUUGCAUCUCAACUUGCACAACUCAUUCUCGAAACCAAAUCCGAAAUAAAUUUAAAGGGGAUUGUUAUAAGAAAUACUCUUUUGGAGUAAGAUAAUGACUAUAACUCCACGGAUGAUUUAUGUGGUCAUGCUUCUAUUAGAAAGGAGUAUAUCACUAAAAAAAAAUAUAGUGAAGCUUGCGAGGAUACUAAUACAAAGAUGUCCAUUGAGGUGAAUGGUUAUACUAACACAUUCAAUGUGUAUGCUAACACAUUCCUAGCCCCUCGAGAAAAUGAAAGUUACCUACAGUGGUGAUACUGAUUUUCUCAUUCCAUUUAUAGGGACAUGGUCCUUAAUACGUGAAAAGGCGAAAGAUUUUCAGUUAAGACAAGAGAUUAUCAAACCUGGUUUCAAGAUCGUUGGACAGACCAAAGUUUUUCAAGACAUCCUAACACAUGCUACAAUAUUAGGAGAAUGUCAUUGAGAGUUUCUUCACCAAAGAAUAUGCUUCUGAUGCUGAAGACUUUUUUAGAAGGAAAACCACUGCUAGAAAGGCACCCUUUUCCUUUUAAGAAUAGGCAUAAAAGUUAAUAUAUUAGUGAUGUUUGAAAAGUUCUAUUAGACCAUCAUUGUUGUGCAAAAAUAAAAAUUCUCUUGCAGUUUUUUUAAUUUG